UACGUAGGGUGCAAGCGUUGCCCGGAUUUAUUGGGCGUAAAGGGCGCGUAGGCGGCUCUGCACGUUCGUUGUCGAAAUCGGCCCGGCUCAACUGGGCGGGGUCAAGCGGAUACGGUGUGGCUCGAGCAAGCUAGGGGGCAAUGGAAUUCCCGGUGAUAGUGGUGGAAUGCGUAGAUAUCGGGAGGAACACCAGUGGCGAAGGCGGUUGCCUGGAGCUUUGCUGACGCUGAGGUGGCGAAAGCGUGGGGAGCAAACGGG
rnacentral:rRNA from 1 species